AUCCCUAGCCCCGCCGUCGGGGGCCUCGCGGUCGUCCUGGGCUCCCCUCCCGCGCUGGCCACGCUGUCGGGCGGCCGUGGGGACUCGGCCUGGGGACCCAGGGUAGCGGUGCGGUUCGGGAAGAUCAGACCCUGCGCUCCAGCGGGGUGUGUCCUUGAUCGCCCCUCCAGAGCUGGAUCCCAACUCUCCGUCAGGCCCGCAGAGUGACCUUGCAGCCCCAUCUGGUGCGCGGAGUGUCGCCCCAGGACCCGAAACGCCUCAGGCGCUGCGCUGAGAGGAAGAGACACUUAGACUGAGCUCUGAAGGCCGGAAGGAACUGGUUGGGAUGAAGGAAAGGUGUUCACUGAAUGGAAAUACACUUCCUGCAGAUUGCACCACUAGCUGAGCUUUGUUGCAAAGACUGAGGGAAAACCUGAAUUACUUGGUAAGAAAAACAAGUGACCAUGGUCCAGACUUUGAGAAGAUGGAGGUCAAGCUCCUUUCAGCAUGCUUCUGCAGCCAGGAGGCCUACAGGGGGAAGCAGAUUUGGGUGAAAACACCACCCUACAAAGUCCUGGCAGCCUUAAGUUAUUCAAUUCUAUGGAGAACACAGUAAGCACUUCCUUCAGAAUCCAUCAGGCUGCACAUUCCUUUUAAUCUGGAUAUUUGGUUUCAAACAGCUUUGGCAAACAUGUGUCCAUCUUACCAAAUUCCCCUAUCACAAGGGGAGUAUGGCCUAAUGAUCAAGAACACAGGCGGCUGAUGUUCAACCCCUCUUACCUCUCAAGUUCUCUAGUUAUUUCUUAGUCUAAUUCCUGUCAUCAGAAUUAGUUAAUAUUUGGCUGUUCUAAAUAUUAUAAAGCCAACCAGGGACUGGAGGGAAGAGAACUGCCUGACUUGGAUAGGGAGCCAAGGACUACAUUCAAGGUCCUCUUCUGCCAUUUAUUCAUUAUGUGAUCUCAGGCAGAUCACUUUCUCACCCACUUUCCCAUUCGUUUCUCCUUCUGUAAAACAAAGGAGUUAAGAUUUGAUGACCAAUUUUGUUUCUACCUCUGAAAUGCUAUUCUACCAUUUAACCAGAAAUAUCAGCAUACUGUGGGAAACUGGCCCCAUUCUCUCAAAACCCAGGAUCUGUGAUUUCUAAAACAAAGAUCUUCUUACAUACUGGUUAUCUGUUUAAUCACGUAAAUGGGCCAGAAAGCCCUACAGAUUUACAUUAACAACAGUCUGAUUCUUUGUUCCCUUGUUAAAUAAAAUUAGUGAGGAUAAAAUAUAUAAGAAAAAAUCUACUAAUGAGCUCCAUAAUUUAUCCAUCAAGAUAUUUGGAUUUGAAUAAUGCACUGAAGUACCUAAAAGAGUAACAUGUUAUACAUAAGGUAAUGGUUCAGAAGUAAAGCAGGAAAUACAAAAUAUUUGUUACUGCAAGCAAUUUUAAUACAAAAGUGUGUCUUGUUUUUAAACAGUUCAUUGGUAGAGCUUCAGUUUCUGCCUCAAUUAAAAUCAAUUGAGAUAAUCACACAGCAACGUGGUCGGAGCUGAAGAGGAACAGCAGCUAAAAACCAGGAGCCCCAGACAGCCCCUCUUCGUGAUCACUUGGGUCAGCUAACUUUAUUACGCACAAAAAAAAAGACGGAAGCAAAAGGGACUUCUUAACAAGUGUGCUGGUGAACUCCUUUAAAGGACGAGCGAAUGUUUUAUGUCCACAUUUUCAGAAUAGGCUUGUGGAAUUCAUUCCUCAGGUUGUGGGAAGUUGAUCGACCAUUUAAAAUAAAUAGCAAAAAAUGCAGAUAAACAAAUCUGUAAUUCAUGAUGCCACCAAGAGGUCUCCCCUUGCCGACGGCCUGGGUCCCGGUGAGCACAGGAGUGAUUGGUGGCCGGGUGGAUAGGAAGUUAUAAACCAGGACUCUUAAAAACCCCAAUGUUCUCACAUUUUCUCAACAGUUACAUUUACCCCUGAAUUCUAGCAGCUAUAUGUCCUUUAAACACCUAGUACUGAAACAGUAUUCAAAGACAGUAUUGCAAUGAACUCCUUUUGCUGUAUCAUGUGCAAACAUUACCUAGAUGAGGUUCCCUCUCUUCAGCUAAAAUUACACAACAUUAAAAACAAUGGAAAAAGCAGUCAGAAGUGCCCUCCCCUCAGUUCUUGCUAGUUGAGGUGUCCAUGAUUUACAAAAAAAGAGUUCCUUAAACACUGCAGGAUUCUUAUUUU